CUGUCCCUAUCUACUAUCUAGCGAAACCACAGCCAAGGGAACGGGCUUGGUACAAUCAGCGGGGAAAGAAGACCCUGUUGAGCUUGACUCUAGUCCGACUUUGUGAAGAGACAUGAGAGGUGUAGCAUAGGUGGGAGCUUCACGGCGCARUUGACAUACCACUACUUUCAUCGUUUAUUUACUUAUUCAGUUGAACAGGAAAGCGGGCGUUCAAGCGCCUCCUUUCUGGACUCAAGCGUCCGGCCCUCUCGGUCGGACGCCGAUCCGCUCUGAAGACAGUGUCAGGCGGGGGACGUUUGACUGGGGCGGUACAUCUGUCAAAAGGUAACGCAGGUGUCCUAAGGUGAGCUCAGUGAAGAACGGAAAUCUCACGURRAGCAAAAGGGCAAAAGCUCACUUGAUCUCGAUUUUCAGUACGAAUACGGACCGUGAAAGCGUGGCCUAUCGAUCCUUUUGACUUUAUGAGUUUUAAGCAAGAGGUGUCANAAAAGUUACCACAGGGAUAACUGGCUUGGGCAGCCAAGCGUUCAUAGC
rnacentral:rRNA from 1 species